AGAAAUGGGCCAUAGGUCACCAGAAGGGAGGUGGGUGAAGGGAUGGGCAACAUAGGUAAAGGGAAUUAAGAGAUACAGACUUCCAGUAAUUAAGUAAGUCACGGACAUGAAAAGUACAGCCCGGGGAAUAUAGUUGUCAUAAUGAUGUCUGGUGACCGAUGGUCGCUACUUUAUCACGAUGAACACGGAGCAAUAAUGUAUAGAAUUGUCAACUCACUAUGUUGUACAUCUGAAGCUACUAUAACACGUCAAUAGUAAAUACUUAAUGAAUAAUAUUAUUUAUUUCAUUAAUAAAUAAAAGGGGAAAUGAGCCAUAGAAUAACUUGAGAAAGAGCUUUCUGACCGAAAUGGAAAUGUCUUAACGUGUUGCCAGUGACACCGCAUUGCUUGUGAGGCUCAGGCCUCCAGAGAUGUGCAUGCCAUUAAAACAGGCUUUAAAAAAAGAAAUGAAAAGGCUCAGAGCCACUGCAAGGCCAUCUGUGACAUAUUUAAUCCUGGGCAACCUUUCCAGCAAGGUUCUGGCAGAGCUUGAGAAGUUUGGCCCCCUCAAAUCACGGGACUUUCCACAUCACUCCGGUGAUAAAAGGAGGUAGUUUUUUGUUUUUUGUUUUUUUGUUUUUUUUUUCCUGAACGCAUAGGCAGAGCUAGAUUCCUACACCUAUAGAGAGGAAGGAGAAAAACUCGGGUGUCUACACAAGCCAGAGCACCGGAUACGGAUACAGCACCAGCCCAGAUGGAUGGGGCAUUCCAUUUCUCCACAAAAGCUGAGCUAAGAAAAAUGUCAGGUCGAUAAUGAAGAAAGACUGGGAGGAAACGUAAUACAGAUUGUUUUGUAGGACCUUGGAGUUUAAUAACAGAGACCCAGAUACCUAAUCCGUCCAGCUCGGUCUUGUGCCUGACUCACUGGAUGGCCUUCGUGAAAUCAUUCUCCAUCGACACAGGACAAAGGCACAUUUUGAGGGGUCAUCUGGUCCUCCUGUGGCUUCCAUUUUCACGACUUAUUCGGACAGCAGUUACUGAGCAGCUGGACCCCAUGUGCCCAGGCUUCCUCCAGCACUAGGAACACGGAGGUGAUCGGGCUGUGGCCUUGGUCUCAGGGCUGGCAGUCGGAGAGACAGACAGGCAGUUACCCUUCAGUGUGCUGGGGACUGUGGAGGCGGAGUGCUUCCCAGAGGGGUCUGGGAACUAAGUCUUAAAAGAUGAAGGGUAUUUGGCACAACGAGGAGGAGGGUGGCGUGGUCGGGAAGCUGGAGAAGGUGCUCAAGAUAGAGAGGACCGAGGCCAAGGCUUGGAGGGCACAGGGUCCUUGAUGUCUUGGAGGCGGUAGAAAAUAAUUCAGUAUGAAGUACAGGGUGUAGGGAGGGGGUGGGGAGAGAUAAGGGGUGCCGGAUACAUGAAGAGAGCUCAGCCUCACACGUGUGCUAAGGAAGUCAAAACCUCUUACACGAGCCUGAGAUUUUUGGAGAAGAGGUCAAACUGGAGACUCAGUGACACUGGCCAGAGGUUGAACCAGGGCACUGGUGAUCAGGAGAGUCAGGCAGCCAUGUUUGAGGAGGUGGACAGCCCAGUGGAGAGCGGCUGGGGUGAGGAGUGGUGGGAGGGCGGACCUGGGUCCCCCCAAGGAGGACGGCCAAGCCAUGGACCUGGGGAGGGAGGGAGCGCAGUCUUUGAUGACAAAGGCCGCCUCGAGCUCUUGCUAGCCCCGUGGCCCCGGGAAAGGUACUGAACUCUCUGUGCCUCAGACCCUUCGUCUAAAAGCGAGCAUGAUGAUAGUAGAACCUCAUAGGGUGUUGCGUUGUUAUGUGGCUUAAAGAAAAUAAGGCGUGUAAGGCACUCAGAAGGGUGUCUGGAGUGUCCCAAGUCUUCAGGAGGUGCCAGCUUUUCUUAGGGGACACAGCAAGAUGGAGAUUCCUGGAGGAGAAAGAGGGCUCAGGAGGACCAGGGGGUCUCCUUCUGUUUCCCGUGACAAGAGGUUGCUUCAAGACUUUAAGAACACCAUUUCGGUCACCUUGUCAGAGGAGGUAAACUCCACAACGGAAGCUGCCUCGCCGGCUGCCAGCUGGACAAAACCCAGGGCAACUCUCUCUGAACAGAUUUGUGGAAUCCGGGACACCUAGGACAGAGGACCCCACAUUCGCUUCAGGGCUCGAGCAAGAGAAACGUAAGUGAAAACGUUCAGGCCGUAGAUCCCUGUGGGGGGUUCAGUCUUCAUACGAGGUCGGGGACCAAGUGGGGUCCUGGUGAGAUGGUGAAGCACGUGCAGUUUGUUUUUACCCAAACUGCUACCAACUUCUCUGAUGUUUUUCUAAAGACAUCUUUUUUAUUUUUUUAAAUGUUUAUGUAUGUUUUAGAGAGAGACAGACAGACAGACAGAGUGGGAGCGGGGGAGGAGCAGAGAG